UACGUAGGGGGCAAGCGUUGUCCGGAUUUAUUGGGCGUAAAGAGCGUGUAGGCGGCCAGAUAGGUCAGCUGUGAAAACUCGAGGCUCAACCUCGAGACGUCGGUUGAAACCAUCUGGCUAGAGUCCGGAAGAGGAGAGUGGAAUUCCCGGUGUAGCGGUGAAAUGCGCAGAUAUCGGGAAGAACACCCGUGGCGAAGGCGGCUCUCUGGGACGGUACUGACGCUGAGGCGCGAAAAGCGUGGGGAGCAAACAGG
rnacentral:rRNA from 1 species